AUGAGCAAAGGUGAACAAAUUUUUAACUCUGUUAUAUCAAAAAGUGAUUCAUUCACGAUUCAGAACCACCUUUUCACAAAGAGAAACUCAGAAAAACUUCACACACAACAAAAUAUCACAAAGGAAAAAUCGCAAAGAACUCACAUCAAUCUCUUUAUGAAAAUCAUCUUUGAUCUUCAUCUUUAUCUACAACUUUAA